AAGAAAGAAUAUGGAGAUGUAAUUUUAAAAGAGGAUAGGAAGUAUUUUAGAGCAUAAAACAAAUAAACAAAAACUCAUAUAUUUCUUUUUUUAAUAUAUAAAUUAGGAGAAAGAGUAGAAGAGUUGGGAAAGUUGAGAGGAAGAGGAAGAGAAAGAGAAAGAGAGAAAGGGUGCAUGAAGAGCAAGAUGGAGAAGCAGGGCACGUGCUUUACUAACUCAGUUCCAAUUCAAAAAUCCCUUCUUUUCUUUUUCUUUCUCUUUUUCUUUUUUCCCAAUGUUUGUUAAGAAGUGAUUUUGAAAUUUGGAAGAAAAAGGGGUUUUUUUCUUUUUCUUUUUCUUUUUUAAUGUAUUUUUGAGUUAGUUCUUCAUGUGCCCCUCUUCACCAUCAAGACCACUGCACCUUAAUUAUUGGAAAUUCUGCUUCUGCUUCUGCUUCUGCUUCUGCUUCUGCCUUCUUCAUUCAGCACUUUUAUUUUUUGUUUUUCAGUUCUAGUGUUCUUCAGCAAGAAAUUUUCUUACCCAACAAACUUGGAGUGGAAUGGAUUCAACAGGCCAAAUGAUCAAGUGAACACUCUCAAUUUUAGUGUCAAAGCUGUAGAAAACUUCCGAGAAAUUAGUUCUUACAAUUUAUACUAUUAGAUAUAUGAGAGAAAAGUUGUAAGACAAUUUUAAAUAUGCUUGUAUUCCAAUAUUUACGUUGGUCUACAAAUUAUUUUAGUAAUUCUGAUCCAUUGGCUAUUGCGAAGCAAUUACAUUA